CGGUCAGCCCCGCCCACCGGCCCGCCCCGCGGCCCCGCCCACCUGCGGACUCCCCUAAACUGAAAGUGAAACGGGGUUCAGGUCCAUGGCUCUCCUCCUGAACCUUGAGACCCCAGGCGACUCCUGCCGGUACGUAGGGACGUGGAAGGAUCACGCACCGCCCUCGCUCUGGUUGUAGUAGUCCAGCAGGGUCCUCAGGUUUCCUCGGAAAGUCUGCUCCCAGCCCUUGGCUCUCCGCGUCUCCCUCAGCAAAUACUCCGGCUCCUGCUCCAUCCAAGGCGCCCGCGGCUCAUAUCUCGGAGUCUCCGCGUCGCUGUCGAAGCGCACGAACUGCGUGUCGUCCACGUAGCCGACUUCCAUGUACCGGGGCUCCCCGAGGCCGGGCCGGGACACGAUGGUGUGGCAAAACCGCAGCGAGUGCGAGCCUGGGGGCAGCGCACGGUGAGACCCCGACCUUCCUCCGGGGACCCCGGGCGGGUGCGCGGGCCGGGAGGGGAGCAGGGCGCGGGGCUCGGGACGCGGUGGAGAAGGGCGGGAGGGUCUGGCUGGGCGAUGCGGGGACGCGGCUUCCCCGGGGCCGCCCCCGCCCUCCCCGCAGAGUCGUUUCCCUCCCGACCCCGCACUCACCCGCGCGUGUCCGGGUCGGGGCCAGGGCGGCCGCCAGCAGCAGGAGCAGCGCGCGCGGAGCCAUCGCCCCCAUCUGGGAACCGGGGCGUCUGAGUUCCGCGGGCUGCGUGGACUUUAUAGCCCGUGACCGCGGCGACGCUGAUUGGUUCUCCGGGAUCUCGUCAUCCAAUGGGGGUGAGAACAGGACACUUGUUAUCCAUCAUUGUCUGGGCAGAAGGACCCCACACAGGUCCGGAACUGGAGAAGUGACCUCACUGCCUGGGGACUGAGACUUUGCUGAACCCUGUGCUGCGGGAUGGAGCGCUGUGUGUCAUGGUGUCUCUGAGCCGCCUAAGGACAACUGUCUCCUCAGGUUAGUCAGGAUGUAACCUAAGAGCACGAAGUUUCCAGAUAAAAUACACACAGCACUUAAAAUGAAUGUUCAGGGAAACAGGUGUUAUGGGAGUCCUGGUGAGGAUGUGGGGCUGCCGUGGACACGUUCAUCGGGAGGUGACUGGAGUUUUCACAGCUCUGGUCAAGCACUUUUGACACACUGUGUGUUACAUGUGACUUUCCGUGCUGGAGUCUCUACUCUCCUCUGCUUUCACUUUCUACUUCAGUUAUGUGUGGCUGGGAUUUGAAGACAUCAAGUCAACAUCCACAGAAAGAAGAUGUUUAUAAAUUUAAUUUAGCUCCACACUACUGAAUGGGGAUGAAACCUUGAAUCCCCCGUGUGUACCACUGCCAUGAGAAUUAUCCUCUGCCCAGUGUCUACACUGCACAGGCCUGAGAAACUCAGAAGACAACUUUUAUCAGAUUCAGGGUCCCACAGGCCUGUAACAUUCAUCUCCCUCAUCUCAUGAGCUUAUAAAGUGUGAGAAAAUGUCAGAGGGAGAGUGCCAUGGAUUGUGUAACUUCUACUACUACACUAUUAUCAUUAUUCUGCUUUAUUAUUACAACCACCUGGAGCCACAGGUGAUCGAUCAUCAGGGAGAAACACUAGGAGUCUGAGUGUAAGCACCACACUGUGAAGACAGGAUCCUGAGUGAAAAGGCAAAGUGUCUAUUUACAGAAGACCUCCUGAGUAUCUUGGCUGCAGACAUGGGGGAGGAAGCCAAAAAAGACUACAGGACAGUCCAAAGUUCCUCCGAAUGCCUAUGCCAGUGUCUGAUGAAUUCACGGUUUGGAUUUCUUUAUGAAGGGCUACUCCUGCCGUCACUGCCGUAGCUGCCAAUGCAACGAUUCCCACAAUAACUGCAACCACCAGUCCAGCCAUACGACAUGCUAUUUUUAAUAUUCCUUCAACGAGCUUCUCUACCAGGAUCAUCACAGGAGAACCUUGUCAUGGCCUCAACUUCACUGGUAUCCAGAUUGCUGGCCUUGCUCUAAGAAUAUAUAAACGUUCAAAGGUAUCUGUAUCAGAAGCAGCCAAUAAAAUAUAAUCCACAUAAUGAUAAAUAAUAGACUAAAGAAAUUGUUUAUGAGUCAUUUCCAGUGGUUGAUUUACAAAAUAUUGACACAAAGUUGGGCUACCGGCAGUGGCCCUACUCUAAAUUUGGAUAGCCAAAUCCUGUCAAAUCUUGCCUUUCUACAACCGGCAUAGCCUGUGCCCUGUCCUUAUAUUCUUCUCAAUGCUCUUUCUAGGAAUAUAUCCCAAUUUAAAUAUCAAUUUAUGCACUGUUUCUGAAAUUGUAGGAAUAUUAACUUGAGUUCACCAUGUUGUAACAAAUCUCUUCCAUAAAUUCAUGGCUGCAUCAGCCAUGUAAGGCUUUGAUAUCCCUUCCUAACCUUCUGGCCCUAUACAUUUAAUCCACUCUACACUCUGUUUUACUCCAGAGAAGGUUUUAAUGCCUACAAAUUGAGUGGAGACUUCUUGUAAAGGCCAGUUAGGAUCCCAGGA